rnacentral:ncRNA from 1 species
AGCCGAUCCUAAGGGACGGGGUAACCCCGGCAGAUAGCGCGAUCACGCGCAUCCCCCGAAAGGGAAUCGGGUUAAGAUUUCCCGAGCCGGGAUGUGGCGGGUGAACGCGACGUUAGGAAGUCCGGAGACGCCGGCGGGGGCCUCGGGAAGAGUUAUCUUUUCUGCUUAACGGCCUGCCAACCCUGGAAACGGUUCAGCCGGAGGUAGGGUCCAGUGGCCGGAAGAGCACCGCACGUCGCGCGG